GACGAACGCUGGCGGCGUGCUUAACACAUGCAAGUCGAACGAUGAACCGGAGCUUGCUCCGGGGAUUAGUGGCGAACGGUGAGUAACACGUGGGCAACCUGCCCCAGACAUCGGGAUAACCAUUCGAAAGGAUGGCUAAUACCGGAUAUGACCACUUCGGGCAUCCGAUGGUGGUGGAAAGGAUUCUGGUCUGGGAUGGGCCCGCGGCCUAUCAGCUAGUUGGUGGGGUAAUGGCCUACCAAGGCGACGACGGGUAGCCGGCCUGAGAGGGCGACCGGCCACACUGGGACUGAGACACGGCCCAGACUCCUACGGGAGGCAGCAGUGGGGAAUAUUGCGCAAUGGGCGAAAGACCUGACGCAGCGACGCCGCGUGAGGGACGAAGGUC
rnacentral:rRNA from 1 species